UACGAACUGUGCAAACGUUAUUCGGAAUCACUGGGCUUAAAGGGUGCGUAGGCGGCUUGCUAAGUAGGGUGUGAAAGCCCCCCGGCUCAACCGGGGAAUUGCGCCCUAAACUGGCGAGCUGGAGUGGGAUAGGGGUGUGUGGAACUUCCGGUGGAGCGGUGAAAUGUGUUGAUAUCGGAAGGAACGCCGGUGGCGAAAGCGACACACUGGGUCUCAACUGACACUGAGGCACGAAGGCCAGGGGAGCAAACGGG
rnacentral:rRNA from 1 species